rnacentral:rRNA from 1 species
GGGGAAUUGUUCGCAAUGGGCGAAAGCCUGACGACGCAACGCCGCGUGGAGGAUGAAGAAUUUCGGUUCGUAAACUCCUUUCGACCGAAAUGAAUAUCCAGCGAUUUAAUACGUCGCGGGACUGACAGUAUCGAGAGAAGAAGCCCCGGCUAACUCUGUGCCAGCAGCCGCGGUAAUACAGAGGAGCCAAGCGUUGUCCGGAUUGACUGGGCGUAAAGCGCACGCAGGCGGAGGCGCGCGUGGGGUGUGAAAUCUGGCCGCUUAACGGCCAGGCGCCAUCCCAUACGGCGCAUCUGGAGCCGUGCAGAGGUCGGUGGAAUUGCCGGUGUAGUGGUGAAAUGCGUAGAGAUCGGCAGGAACACCCAGGGGGAAACCAGCCGACUGGGCACGAGCUGACGCUGAUGUGCGAGAGCGUGGGGAGCGAA